UACGGAGGGAGCUAGCGUUGUUCGGAAUUACUGGGCGUAAAGCGCGCGUAGGCGGCUUUGUAAGUUAGAGGUGAAAGCCCGGGGCUCAACCCCGGAAUUGCCUUUAAGACUGCAUCGCUAGAAUCCAGGAGAGGUGAGUGGAAUUCCGAGUGUAGAGGUGAAAUUCGUAGAUAUUCGGAAGAACACCAGUGGCGAAGGCGGCUCACUGGACUGGUAUUGACGCUGAGGUGCGAAAGCGUGGGGAGCAAACAGG
rnacentral:rRNA from 1 species